rnacentral:rRNA from 1 species
GCUUAUCAUGCAGUCGAGGGGCAGCGCAGUGUAGCAAUACAUGGGCGGCGACCGGCAAACGGGUGCGGAACACGUACGCAACCUUCCUUCAAAUGGGGGAUAGCCCACCGAAAGGUGGAUUAAUACCCCGUAACAUUUUCUGGUGGCAUCACCGGAUUAUUAUAGCUCCGGCGUUUGAAGAUGGGCGUGCGCCUGAUUAGGUAGUUGGCGGAGUAACAGCCCGCCAAGCCUACGAUCAGUAACUGGUGUGAGAGCACGACCAGUCACACGGGCACUGAGACACGGGCCCGACUCCUACGGGAGGCAGCAGUAAGGAAUAUUGGUCAAUGGACGCAAGUCUGAACCAGCCAUGCCGCGUGGAGGAUGAAGGUCCUCUGGAUUGUAAACUUCUUUUAUCGGAGAAGAAACCCUCAAAUUCUUUUGGGGUUGACGGUACCCGAUGAAUAAGCACCGGCUAACUCCGUGCCAGCAGCCGCGGUAAUACGGAGGGUGCAAGCGUUAUCCGGAUUCACUGGGUUUAAAGGGAGCGUAGGUGGGCUGGUAAGUCAGUGGUGAAAUCUCCGGGCUUAACUCGGAAACUGCCGUUGAUACUAUCAGUCUUGAAUAUUGUGGAGGUAAGCGGAAUAUGUCAUGUAGCGGUGAAAUGCUUAGAUAUGACAUAGAACACCGAUAGCGAAGGCAGCUUGCUACACAAUUAUUGACACUGAGGCUCGAAAGCGUGGGGAUCAAACAGGAUUAGAUACCCUGGUAGUCCACGCCCUAAACGAUGGAUACUCGACAUACGCGAUACACAGUGUGUGUCUGAGCGAAAGCAUUAAGUAUCCCACCUGGGAAGUACGACCGCAAGGUUU